UCGAACCACAACCCAAUUACAUAUAUAAAUGAUUUACUUCCCUCGUCUUCUUCCUUUUCAAUUCCAUCAUAUCUCUCUCUGUCCACCAUUUUUGCACCUCCAAAUGAUAAGAUGGCAAAGCAGGGGAGUUCAGUUUUCCUCGAAGAAUGGUUGAAGAGCAUCAGCGGUAUUGAUAACUCCAAACCCACUUCCUCUUCUGCUCGAGAAAUUAUCCAAGCCUGGGCUGAGCUUAGAAGCUCUUUGGAGCAUCAAUUGUUCGAUGAUCGUCACAUUCAAUCCCUUAAAAUUCUUGUUAACUCUCAGUCUUCACUCUAUGUUGCAGACCCUCAAGCUAAGUUGGUGAUUUCUUUACUUUCUUCUCCUAAUUUCUCUAUUUCUGAUGAAUCCUAUCCCCUCUUUUUGAGGAUUCUUUAUAUCUGGGUCAGAAAAUCUCUCCGACCCUCUUUAGUUCUUCUCGAUUCAUCCGUUGAGGUUCUCUCUCAGAUUUUCUCUUCCAAAAUUGAAUUGCGGAAGAAACCUUUGUUUAUCUCUGAAGGGGUUUUAGUUUUGGGUGCAAUUUCGUAUCAGCUUUCGGCUUCAGAAAAGUCAAAAUUAUGCUGUUUGGAGUUACUUUGCAGGGUUUUGGAAGAAGAUUACCUACUGGUUGGAGGGAUAGUUCCAGAAUUUCUCGCUGGGAUUGGUUAUGCUUUAUCUUCAUCAGUAAAUGCUCAUGUUGUUAGAUUGUUAGAUUCUUUGUUAGGAAUUUGGAGUAAGGUAAAUGGCCCUAUUGAUACUCUUUCUAGUGGGUUAAUGAUUCUUCACAUGAUUGAAUGGGUGACCUCUGGUUUGAUUAAUCUUCAUUCUUUUGAGAAAUUAGAUGUCUUUAGCCAUGCGACUUUAGUGUCUUCAAAGGAAAGUUAUGCUUCAUUUGCUGUUGUAAUGGCUGCUGCUGGAAUAUUGAGGGGUUUUAAUACUUACAAAGGCUUGUUGAAUAGUUCAGAAAGAGAAACGAUAUCUAGAAUAAGGAUUGCAGCUCAGGAUUGUUUAGAAUCAAUAGCAAGGAAUUUUAUUUCUACUAUGGAAGCAUCUUCAAUUACAGGCAAUGACCAUAGAAGGAGCGUGCUUCUAUUGUGUAUUUCAUUGGCAAUAGCACGUUGUGGCCCUGUGUCAGCUCGCCCGCCUGUGCUCAUUUCCGUUGUUUAUGGUUUGUUGACUGAAAUAUUUCCUUUGCAGCGUUUAUAUGCCAAAAUCAAUGAAUUUUCUUUUGCCGAGUUGGGUGUUUUGGGGCUUACUCUAGUGAAGGAGCAUCUGGGUAGUAUUCCUUUUAAGGAAGCCGGGGCCAUUGCUGGUGUUCUUUGCAGUCAGUAUGCUUCACUUGGGGAAGAGGAAAGAAGUAUUGUGGAGAAUCUUGUAUGGGAUUACUGUCGAGAUGUCUACUCAAGGCACAGACUAGUUGGUUUGGUGCUUCGUGGCAGAGAGGAUGAAUUACUAGAGAAUAUCGAGAAAAUUGCAGAGUCUGCUUUUCUCAUGGUUGUAGUUUUUGCAUUAGCUGUCACAAAAGAAAAGUUGGAUUCCAAAUAUACACUAGAAAGUCAGUUUGAUGUAUCGGUAAGAAUACUUGUUUCAUUCUCUUGUAUGGAAUACUUUAGGCGUAUUCGCUUGCAAGAAUAUAUGGAAACUAUCCGAGGUGUUGUUGCGAGCAUUCAGGGGAAUGAGUCUGCCUGUGUCUCUUUCAUCGAGUCAAUGCCCACAUACCAAGAUCAAACAAAUGGCCCUGAUAACUCUAUUGGGCAGAAAAUAAAAUAUUCAUGGGUGAAGGACGAAGUGCAAACUGCACGUAUGUUGUUUUAUAUACGAGUCAUUCCAACUUGCGUCGAGCAUGUUCCUACUCAAGUGUAUGGGAAGGUGGUAGCUCCAACAAUGUUUUUAUAUAUGGGACAUCAAAAUGCAAAAGUUGCCCGUGCUUCACACUCUGUGUUUACAGCUUUCAUGUCCGGGAAGGAUGACAUUGACGAUGAAAAGAGAGCAACAUUGAAGGAGGAGCUUGUUUUCUACUACGUUGAGAGAUCUUUAUCAGGGUAUCCUGGCAUUACACCAUUCGAGGGCAUGGCUUCAGGAGUUGCAGCUUUGGUUCGAUAUCUUCCUGCAGGAAGUCCAGCAAUCUUUUAUUGUAUUGACAGUCUUACUGUAAAAGCUACUAGCCUUUGCAGUGAAAACUUCAUGGAUGACGGAGAUUUGUGGAAGACUUGGCAAGGAGACUUGGAGCCUUCCAAGAAAAUUUUAGACAUGCUAUUACGGCUCAUUUCUCUCGUUGAUAUACAGGUCCUACCAAGCUUGAUGAAGAGUUUAGCACAACUGAUCAUCAAGUUACCUACAGAAGGCCAAAAUCUGGUUCUUGAUCAGUUAUACUCUCUCGUUUCGGAAGCCGAUGAUGUCACCCGUAAACCUAUGUUAGUCUCAUGGCUACAGUCGUUAUCUUAUCUUUGUUCCCUAUCUAAGAGUGCAGAGGCACGUUCCGAUGAGAAGCAAAGUACACGGCUUGCAAACUUUGCAUGGCUUGUUGACCCGUUGAACCGUAUUCGAUCCUAUGCACGACUUUGAGUUUGUUGGGAAUUCUUCAAAAGUUCACUGCCCUCUUUCCAACCAAAUUGGCCAAGAACAUUGCAUGAAUAACUCAAUAAUUCAGGAAUGGCACCAAUUACUCGAAAACAAAGAUGCCACAAGAGCACGUGAGGGAGAGUGAUCCAAAAGUUUCACUCUCUUCUAAGCUGCUUAACCUAUUGCUCAUAUCCGUAAAGGUAGAUGGUUCACAUUUGCUCAAUCUGCACUCUCAAGUUCAAGGCUGACUUAGAACAUGUGGUCUAGAAGGCAAGGGUUGGUUGACAAAGGUUCUUAAAGAAGCAAGAUUGGCUGCCCUUGGCCACUCCUAAAUAUGGUUUUGUUGUCAAAACUUGCUUGCCGGGAGCACAACAUAUUUCAAUCAAGCUACUGUCCCUAGUUAAUCUGAGGAUUGCACUCCAUUUUAGUCAAACUGCAAAGCAUGUAAGAUGAGAAAAGCUUUGAAACAUCCCCAGUCUCGGUCUUUGUAUUUCAGUAGAGUUUUUCCCAUUCUUUUAGUUACCUUAAAAGGAAUUGUUUACAAAACAAAAGGGCAGAGGCCGAACCAUAACAAAUGAGAAGCCAUGCAACGCAACUCCAGCACAGGUACAUUUAUGAUAUAGUCAACCCAUUCUUAUGUUAGUUAUUGUACGAGAACCACACGUUCGCAUCAAAGGCGUCGCAGCUGAUCUUUUAUUCCAUUAUGAUUAAAUCUCCCUCAACUAGAAUGGAAGGGCUGUGAUCAGUCUCUCCAACCAUCAAUUUUUUACCACCGGAAGAGGAAUAAGAGCAUGUACGUGUAAUAUAAUGUUAUGAUUAUUUUGUUUCUGUUAUAAUCCACGAUGGAAGAUGCAUUCCUCCUUGACUAUGGUAUUGUAUAUAUUAGCCUUUUCCUUGCUUGUUCCA